rnacentral:lncRNA from 1 species
GAUAAUGUUGAGCUUCCCUGAAAGUAGGUGUUAUAUGAGCCACUUGAUGCUGAUUAUUGACUGGGCGAGCAAUCUUCCUCUUCACAGAGGGUCUUAUUUUGACAUGGGAUGACACAGCGUGUGCCUCUCCCUCCUUCUUCUUCGCAAAACUUCCAUAUCUCUUUGCUGAAGAGCCUUCAUCUCGAGUUAAGCGUCCUUCUCGGACCCCUUCU